GGGCCCGCACAAGCGGUGGAGCAUGUGGUUUAAUUCGAUGAUACGCGAGGAACCUUACCAGGGCUUAAAUGUAGUGGGACAGGUCUAGAGAUAGACCCUUCUUCGGACUCAUUACAAGGUGCUGCAUGGUUGUCGUCAGCUCGUGCCGUGAGGUGUCAGGUUAAGUCCUAUAACGAGCGCAACCCCUAUCGUUAGUUGCCAGCGGGUAAUGCCGGGAACUCUAGCGAAACUGCCGGUGCAAACCGUGAGGAAGGUGGGGAUGACGUCAAAUCAUCACGGCCCUUACGUCCUGGGCUACACACGUGCUACAAUGGUCGGUACAGAGAGCAGCCACUACGCGAGUAGGAGCGAAUCUUCAAAACCGAUCUCAGUUCGGAUUGUCGUCUGCAACUCGACGGCAUG
rnacentral:rRNA from 1 species